rnacentral:tRNA from 1 species
GCGCGGGUGUCGUAAUUGGUAGCCGAGCAUCCUUGAGGUGGAUGUGCCCGUAAGGGCGUGGGAGUUCGAGUCUCCCCCCGCGCA